rnacentral:rRNA from 1 species
UACGGGAGGCAGCAGUGAGGAAUAUUGGGCAAUGGGCGCAAGCCUGACCCAGCCACGCCGCGUGUGUGAUGAAGGCCUUCGGGUCGUAAAGCACUGUGGGGAGAGACGAACAAUUUCCGUCCUAAUACGGCGGAGACCUGACGGUACCUCCUUAGCAAGCACCGGCUAACUCUGUGCCAGCAGCCGCGGUAAU